rnacentral:lncRNA from 10 species
AGAAGUUGCGGACUAGUAGCUGAGGCGGCACGGGAGUGUAGGCGCGCGGGGUCGUUGCCGGGGGCACAGAGUGAGAACAAGCAAGGGAGCCCUGCUGAAUUGCAGCUUAGGAAGCCCUGAAUCCUGGAGGUGCGUUGAAACCGAGAACGCGCGGCGUAGUAGACUUUGUGAGAUGCGUGGGCAGUAGCGCAGAGUUCUAACGCAGAGUCAUGCCCUCUCAGCAUUCAGGUGGUCUUAAAUCAGAUGGGCUCGUCCCAGUGCUGAAAAUGCAUUAUAAUAUAAACAGAUAGAUGGGCUUGUUUGUGCCUAGAGUCUUUCCGUAGGAAAGACUGGCAGCUCUGAAGAGGGAAACUGGGUGGCUAGGAAACCGGAGGGAGGGAGAGUUUUCAUAUAAUUAUUUUUGGUCCUUGUAUGCUUUGCAUCUUGAAACCUAUCUGUGAAAAAUAAGCUCAAUUUACACUACAAAAAAAGUAUUGGUUUCCAACAGUACAUAGAAUAAAACUCAAAAUCCUUAGCAUGGCUUACAAGACACUUCACUACUGCCCUACUUCUUCAGCCUAGUCUUUCCUCCAUCACUUUCUUCAUUAUUUUUUUGGCCACACUCAAAGUUUGACAGCCUCAUAACCUUCCCUUUCGUUCCUUCUUGACCCGACUUGUCACUGCGUCAGAAAGGCCUUCCCUGUCCCCUCCUUAAUUAUACCAUUGCCCCGUUUAUUUUCCCAGCCACUUGUUCUCUUCUAUUUUUGCACUUAUAAAAUUUUGUAUAUAUAUAUAUUUAUGUGUUUAUGUUUAUUGUCUUUUGUCUUUACACAGUAAUUUGCAUGAGGGCAGGGGUCAUGUUUUUUUUUCUUCUCCGUAUUUCCGGCACAUGGUGGGCACUUAAUAUUUAUUUAAUGAGUGAGAGAAUGAAUGACAGGAAUGAAGUGAAAACAGUGACCAUUCCUUCCAAAGUGCUUGGUUGUCAAAUAGUAGAAAGAUGGCUGUGUCUUGGCCAGGCUCCUGCUGUGUGACAAUAAUGAGGCAAACUUGAGAAGACAAAUAAUUUUAGACCAUAAGAGCUGUAUAAUUGAUUCUAUUAGCAAGACAAAUGGGCCCUUCUCCAAGUUCUCUUUCUGCAUUCAUGCAUUCAGCAGGGAUGCAGUGAGCAUCCACUGUGUGCAAGUUAUGCUGCCUGUUUUUGCCCUAGAUUGAAUGCAAUGGCCAAAAAUAUUAAGAUGUGAUCUCUGGGUGGUGAGAUGAAGGAUAGUAUGUUUCAUGCUGCUUUAUAUUUUUCUAUACUUAACGAAAUAUCCUGGACAAUGAAGAUAUAUUACUUUGAUCUGAG